rnacentral:lncRNA from 1 species
AUGGGCGCUGGCGCCCGUUUCCAACCGUGGAUCCCUCUGCCCAGCGGCAGCGGAACACCCAGACCUGCCUUCGCUCGCAGGCGGCUACCUGGAAAACCAGCCCGUCCCAUGCAGCGCACAGACUGUACCCCACCGUACAGAAGGGGUGCUCCGGGAGGGGCGUGUGGGCACUUCCCGGCGUCCCGGAGCAGCAGGCACAGUGGCCGUGUUGGCGUCCCGCUGGGUGGACUGGAGAGGGCCGCACACCGCUACCUCCGCACGUGGCCACCUGCCCAGACGAUGGUGACAAGGCUGCUCAGGCCGCGUGGACGCCGGGCCUGCCGCAGAAGUUCCGUUUCUCCCAUAAGCCCAGGGCCUACACCCAAAUCCUUCUGUCACCUGCGGAGCCUCAGGCACUUGGAAGUUCUGAUGUCCAGCGGCCACACUGAGGAAGGCAGAGGAUCUCAGGCCAAGCGCAGGCAGGAAUGAGUGUUAGCCUGAGGGUGGAAAUCCUGGUGCAGAAGCCCUCCACAGCCAUCAGCUGUUAUUAUUUACUGAUAAACACAAAAGUUGCAGAGAAAGUGGGAGAGACAACAAACUGAAUGUGACCUGGAAUGAGAUUCCCCACGGAUCACCAUUGUUAUUGCCGUUAUACAAAGUUAGGAAGCCAACUUCCACACAUUUUCUCAACACACGAAUUCGACAUCUCAACUGACAGAAGAGCUGAGCAUUAAAUUAUGUGUAAAGAUUCAAAAUCAAUUGUUCAUUACAGGGCCAACCCAGUCAAUAAUAACAUACUUCAAAGUUCGCUGGGGAUAUGUCAACUGCGUAAUUAAAAACUGCCAUAAAGCAGCUGGAAGGAAAUAUGCCAAAAUGUUAAUCACCUCCAAUUAGGAGAUUAUGGAUGAUUUUUUUCGUAAUAUUUCCUUCUAUUUUCCAAAUGUUCUACAGUGGGCAUCCAGUUCUUUGAAAGUGAAAAGGAAACUUUCAAAAAUGAAAAAAAAAAACAAAAGAAAAAAAAAUAAAUAAAAAUAAAAAUAAAAAAAAAAAGAAACU